rnacentral:piRNA from 1 species
UUCUAUACCAGGACCAACAGACACGUGCAG